rnacentral:scRNA from 1 species
ACCGAAGUGGUCGAGACGGCUGCGGCGAUCGG